CCCCUAGAUGUUCUGGGCCGCACGCGCGCUACACUGAACAGUUCAACAAGUCUUAACCUUGGCCGAUAGGUCUGGGUAAUCUUUGAACGCUGUUCGUGAUUGGGAUAGACCUUUGCAAUUAUGGGUCUUCAACGAGGAAUUCCUAGUAAACGCAAGUCAUCAGCUUGCAUUGAUUACGUCCCUGCCCUUUGUACACACCGCCCGUCGCACCUACCGAUUGAAUGGUCCGGUGAAGCCUCCGGAUUGGCGCGCACCUCGGUGCCGCCGAGAAGUUGGCUAAACCUUACCAUUUAGAGGAAGGUGAANUCGUANCA
rnacentral:rRNA from 1 species